rnacentral:lncRNA from 1 species
UGAAGGUGCAGCCUCAGUAGCUGUUGAAGGCCAGAUAGACUGAAGGAGUCAUGAAGAGAAACCGAGGCUCGGCAUCAUGAAUAAAUCCUAGGACAUUGGUAAAAGCACAGCCCAGUUGCAGUCAAAGAUCCCAGCAUUGUGGAGAUGCCAGUACCUUGGCAUGAUCACCAAGAGCAGCAGUGGCCAUAGAAUGGCGCCUACCCGAGCUUAGAGGACAAGCUGUGUGUGCUACAGAGGAGCUGGAGAAGUGGCCCAAGCCCCUUGUAGGAGGCCAGAAGAUGGUUAGUGAAUCCCAGGUGGCGCCACCUCUGUUUGUAAACUCCAAUCCAGAGCUGUAGUUGUUUCUCCUUUUGGCCCUACACUGUAGAACCAAAGCCGUGCCCAACAGAAGUAGCCUCACCCUGAGUGUCUGAAGCCAGUAUACACGUGAUAUGCUCAAGAAGGACACUUUGC